rnacentral:sRNA from 1 species
GUGCUGACCCGCGUCCCUUUCAGUGCAUCAUCGAGGAGUCGGGAGAGCACAUCAUCGCGGGCGCCGGCGAGCUGCACCUGGAGAUCUGCCUGAAGGACCUGGAGGAGGACCACGCCUGCAUCCCCAUCAAGAAAUCUGACCCGGUCGUCUCGUACCGCGAGACGGUCAGUGAAGAGUCGAACGUGCUCUGCCUCUCCAAGUCCCCCAACAAGCACAAC